rnacentral:rRNA from 1 species
GACGAGCUACACAAACGUUAUUCGGAAUUACUGGGCUUAAAGGGUGCGUAGGCUGCGCGGCAAGUUGGGUGUGAAAUCCCUCGGCUCAACCGAGGAACUGCGCCCAAAACUACCGUGCUCGAGGAAGAUAGAGGUGAGCGGAACUUACGGUGGAGCGGUGAAAUGCGUUGAUAUCGUAAGGAACACCCGUGGCGAAAGCGGCUCACUGGGUCUUUUCUGACGCUGAUGCACGAAAGCUAGGGGAGCAAACGGG